UAUUUAUUUCUCCCAUUUUUCUUUUCUUUCGAUUCGCCCGAUUGCGAAAUUUUUUUAGAAGAUCGCGGGGGAAGUUUGGAGGCGUU
rnacentral:ribozyme from 12 species